UCAGAACGAACGCUGGCGGCAGGCUUAACACAUGCAAGUCGAACGCCCCGCAAGGGGAGUGGCAGACGGGUGAGUAACGCGUGGGAACAUACCCAACUCUACGGAAUAACUCAGGGAAACUUGUGCUAAUACCGUAUACGCCCUUUGGGGGAAAGAUUUAUCGGAGUUGGAUUGGCCCGCGUUGGAUUAGCUAGUUGGUGGGGUAAAGGCCUACCAAGGCGACGAUCCAUAGCUGGUCUGAGAGGAUGAUCAGCCACAUUGGGACUGAGACACGGCCCAAACUCCUACGGGAGGCAGCAGUGGGGAAUAUUGGACAAUGGGCGCAAGCCUGAUCCAGCCAUGCCGCGUGUGUGAUGAAGGCCUUAGGGUUGUAAAGCACUUUCACCGGAGAAGAUAA
rnacentral:rRNA from 1 species